GAUGUUACCAGUUGAAUUGGACACCUGCACACUCAAGAGGAAAGAUUUUAACCCCUUUUCAAAUAUUCAUAAACUAUUGAAUGUUUUAGCAGAAUUGAUAGAGGACCAAACCUCUAGCCUGGAUAUGCUCACCACAGCUUCUCCCUCAGAUGCACUGGUAUAAGUGGACAUAUCCCAGUUUGAAGUGCCAAGGCUAACAGUCAAUGACUCUCACUGUGAGAUGGAUAUCAAGUCAUCAGAUAAUUUAAUGUUGCCUACUCAGAUGGAGAUGGACCUGCCCCUCACCCCCUCACCCACUCUCCCAAGCCCAGCUUGACCCAGCUCAGUCUGGUCUCCUCCCAUCUCCCAGCAGAGCAGAUCUCUCC